rnacentral:rRNA from 1 species
GACGAACGCUGGCGGCGUGCCUAAUACAUGCAAGUUGAGCGCUGAAGGUUGGUACUUGUACCGACUGGAUGAGCAGCGAACGGGUGAGUAACGCGUGGGGAAUCUGCCUUUGAGCGGGGGACAACAUUUGGAAACGAAUGCUAAUACCGCAUAAAAACUUUAAACACAAGUUUUAAGUUUGAAAGAUGCAAUUGCAUCACUCAAAGAUGAUCCCGCGUUGUAUUAGCUAGUUGGUGAGGUAAAGGCUCACCAAGGCGAUGAUACAUAGCCGACCUGAGAGGGUGAUCGGCCACAUUGGGACUGAGACACGGCCCAAACUCCUACGGGAGGCAGCAGUAGGGAAUCUUCGGAAAUGGACGAAAGUCUGACCGAGCAACGCCGCGUGAGUGAAGAAGGUUGUCGGAUCGUAAAACUCGGUUGGUAGAGAAGAACGUUGGUGAGAGUGGAAAGCUCAUCAAGUGACGGUAACUACCCAGAAAGGGACGGCUAACUACGUG